rnacentral:rRNA from 1 species
UACAGAGGGUGCGAGCGUUAAUCGGAAUUACUGGGCGUAAAGCGCGCGUAGACGGCUUCGUAAGUCGGAUGUGAAAUCCCCGGGCUCAACCUGGGAACUGCGUUUGAAACUGGGAGGCUAGAGUGCGGCAGAGGGGGGUGGAAUUCCACGUGUAGCAGUGAAAUGCGUAGAUAUGUGGAGGAACACCGAUGGCGAAGGCAGCCCCCUGGGCCAGCACUGACGCUCAUGCACGAAAGCGUGGGGAGCAAACAGG